GUAAGUGUCUAAGGGCGCAUGGUGGAUGCCUUGGCAUCGAGAGCCGAUGAAGGACGUGGGAGGCUGCGAUAUGCCUCGGGGAGCUGUCAACCGAGCGUGGAUCCGAGGAUUUCCGAAUGGGGAAACCCAGCACGAGUGAUGUCGUGCUACCCGCAUCUGAAUAUAUAGGGUGCGGGAGGGAACGCGGGGAAGUGAAACAUCUCAGUACCCGUAGGAGGAGAAAACAAUUGUGAUUCCGCAAGUAGUGGCGAGCGAACGCGGAACAGGCUAAACCGCACGCAUGGGUAACCGGGUAGGGGUUGUGUGUGCGGGGUUGUGGGAGGAUAUGUCUCAGCGCUACCCGGCUGAGAGGCAGUCAGAAAGUGUCGUGGUUAGCGGAAGUGGCCUGGGAUGGUCUGCCGUAGACGGUGAGAGCCCGGUACGCGAAAACCCGGCACCUGCCUAGUAUCAAUUCCCGAGUAGCAGCGGGCCCGUGGAAUCCGCUGUGAAUCCGCCGGGACCACCCGGUAAGCCUAAAUACUCCUCGAUGACCGAUAGCGGAUUAGUACCGUGAGGGAAUGGUGAAAAGUACCCCGGGAGGGGAGUGAAAGAGUACCUGAAACCGUGUGCCUACAAUCCGUCAGAGCCUCCUUUUCCUCUCCGGAGGAGGGUGGUGAUGGCGUGCCUUUUGAAGAAUGAGCCUGCGAGUCAGGGACAUGUCGCAAGGUUAACCCGUGUGGGGUAGCCGCAGCGAAAGCGAGUCUGAAUAGGGCGACCCACACGCGCAUACGCGCGUGUGAAUAGUGGCGUGUUCUGGACCCGAAGCGGAGUGAUCUACCCAUGGCCAGGGUGAAGCGCGGGUAAGACCGCGUGGAGGCCCGAACCCACUUAGGUUGAAGACUGAGGGGAUGAGCUGUGGGUAGGGGUGAAAGGCCAAUCAAACUCCGUGAUAGCUGGUUCUCCCCGAAAUGCAUUUAGGUGCAGCGUUGCGUGGUUCACCGCGGAGGUAGAGCUACUGGAUGGCCGAUGGGCCCUACUAGGUUACUGACGUCAGCCAAACUCCGAAUGCCGUGGUGUAAAGCGUGGCAGUGAGACGGCGGGGGAUAAGCUCCGUACGUCGAAAGGGAAACAGCCCAGAUCGCCGGCUAAGGCCCCCAAGCGUGUGCUAAGUGGGAAAGGAUGUGCAGUCGCAAAGACAACCAGGAGGUUGGCUUAGAAGCAGCCACCCUUGAAAGAGUGCGUAAUAGCUCACUGGUCAAGUGAUUGUGCGCCGAUAAUGUAGCGGGGCUCAAGCACACCGCCGAAGCCGCGGCACAUCCACCUUGUGGUGGGUGUGGGUAGGGGAGCGUCCCUCAUUCAGCGAAGCCACCGGGUGACCGGUGGUGGAGGGUGGGGGAGUGAGAAUGCAGGCAUGAGUAGCGACAAGGCAAGUGAGAACCUUGCCCGCCGAAAGACCAAGGGUUCCUGGGCCAGGCCAGUCCGCCCAGGGUGAGUCGGGACCUAAGGCGAGGCCGACAGGCGUAGUCGAUGGACAACGGGUUGAUAUUCCCGUACCCGUGUGUGGGCGCCCGUGACGAAUCAGCGGUACUAACCACCCAAAACCGGAUCGAUCACUCCCCUUCGGGGGUGUGGAGUUCUGGGGCUGCGUGGGAACUUCGCUGGUAGUAGUCAAGCGAAGGGGUGACGCAGGAAGGUAGCCGUACCAGUCAGUGGUAACACUGGGGCAAGCCGGUAGGGAGAGCGAUAGGCAAAUCCGUCGCUCACUAAUCCUGAGAGGUGACGCAUAGCCGGUUGAGGCGAAUUCGGUGAUCCUCUGCUGCCAAGAAAAGCCUCUAGCGAGCACACACACGGCCCGUACCCCAAACCGACACAGGUGGUCAGGUAGAGCAUACCAAGGCGUACGAGAUAACUAUGGUUAAGGAACUCGGCAAAAUGCCCCCGUAACUUCGGGAGAAGGGGGACCGGAAUAUCGUGAACACCCUUGCGGUGGGAGCGGGAUCCGGUCGCAGAAACCAGUGAGGAGCGACUGUUUACUAAAAACACAGGUCCGUGCGAAGUCGCAAGACGAUGUAUACGGACUGACGCCUGCCCGGUGCUGGAAGGUUAAGAGGACCCGUUAACCCGCAAGGGUGAAGCGGAGAAUUUAAGCCCCAGUAAACGGCGGUGGUAACUAUAACCAUCCUAAGGUAGCGAAAUUCCUUGUCGGGUAAGUUCCGACCUGCACGAAUGGCGUAACGACUUCUCAACUGUCU
rnacentral:rRNA from 1 species